GCCAUAGCAAGAGCAAGAUCAGAGAGAAAUAAGGACUUAUGACCAUUAGACCAGGAGACAGGAAGCGAUGGUUCUGGAAGGGGCUCUGUUACUAACUUUGGAAUUCAACUGUCCAGAUAGAAAGGUGGACAUGGAAAAAUUGGGCUUUGCAAAUGGUCACCCAAUUCUUGCCUUCCUGGUCUCCAGAUCACCCUUCCUAUACCGCCACUCUGGAGAAAGAAGUACAGAACGCUAACAAGAAAACCAAGAGAGAGAUGAAUAAGGAAUGAAAACAUACUCCACAUGGACUCAAUAAAUCUUGGGUGAAAUGAUGCUGUCUGACAAGGUAAAUAAAAAAUGCAGCACUCAAGCACCAGCACUGGGGAUGAGAUGAGGACACACCAAUUACCAGCACUUCUGCCUGCUUUGCUUUGUUGACA
rnacentral:lncRNA from 1 species